CCCAGACCACCAGUUAAGGUCCCCAAAUAUAUGUUAAGUGGAAAAGGAUGUGGGGUUGCUUAGACAACCAGGAUGUUGGCUUAGAAGCAGCCACCAUUGAAAGAGUGCGUAAUAGCUCACUGGUCGAGUGACCCCGCGCCGAAAAUGUACCGGGGCUAAACAUAUUACCGAAACUGUGGAUGAACCUCUUCGGAGGUUCGUGGUAGGAGAGCGUUCUAAGGGCGGUGAAGUCAGACCGGAAGGACUGGUGGAGCGCUUAGAAGUGAGAAUGCCGGUAUGAGUAGCGAAAGAAGGGUGAGAAUCCCUUCCACCGAAUAUCUAAGGUUUCCUGAGGAAGGCUCGUCCGCUCAGGGUUAGUCGGGACCUAAGCCGAGGCCGAUAGGCGUAGGCGAUGGACAACAGGUAGAGAUUCCUGUACCAGUGCUAAUUGUUUAACCGAUGGGGUGACACAGAAGGAUAGGGAAUCGCACGAAUGGAAAUGUGCGUCCAAGCAGUGAGUGUGAGAAGUAGGCAAAUCCGCUUCUCGCGAAGCAUGAGCUGUGAUGGGGAAGGAAAUUAAGUACGGAAGUUCCUGAUUUCACGCUGUCAAGAAAAGCCUCUAGGAAGAGUAGUACUGCCCGUACCGCAAACCGACACAGGUAGAUGAGGAGAGAAUCCUAAGGUGAGCGAGAGAACUCUCGUUAAGGAACUCGGCAAAAUGACCCCGUAACUUCGGGAGAAGGGGUGCUCUAUUAGGGUGCAAGCCCGAGAGAGCCGCAGUGAAUAGGCCCAGGCGACUGUUUAGCAAAAACACAGGUCUCUGCAAAACCGUAAGGUGACGUAUAGGGGCUGACGCCUGCCCGGUGCUGGAAGGUUAAGAGGAGUGCUUAGCUUCGGCGAAGGUACGAAUUGAAGCCCCAGUAAACGGCGGCCGUAACUAUAACGGUCCUAAGGUAGCGAAAUUCCUUGUCGGGUAAGUUCCGACCCGCACGAAAGGCGCAACGAUCUGGGCACUGUCUCAACGAGAGACUCGGUGAAAUUAUAGUACCUGUGAAGAUGCAGGUUACCCGCGACAGGACGGAAAGACCCCGUGGAGCUUUACUGCAACCUGAUAUGGAAUGUUUGUACCGCUUGUACAGGAUAGGUAGGAGCCGAAGAGACGUGUGCGCUAGCAUACGAGGAGGCAAUGGUGGGAUACUACCCUGGCUGUAUGACCAUUCUAACCCGCCACGCUUAGCGCGUGGGGAGACAGUGUCAGGUGGGCAGUUUGACUGGGGCGGUCGCCUCCUAAAGAGUAACGGAGGCGCCCAAAGGUUCCCUCAGAAUGGAUGGAAAUCAUUCGCAGAGUGUAAAGGCACAAGGGAGCUUGACUGCGAGACUGACAAGUCGAGCAGGGACGAAAGUCGGGCUUAGUGAUCCGGUGGUUCCGCAUGGAAGGGCCAUCGCUCAACGGAUAAAAGCUACCCCGGGGAUAACAGGCUUAUCUCCCCCAAGAGUCCACAUCGACGGGGAGGUUUGGCACCUCGAUGUCGGCUCGUCGCAUCCUGGGGCUGUAGUCGGUCCCAAGGGUUGGGCUGUUCGCCCAUUAAAGCGGCACGCGAGCUGGGUUCAGAACGUCGUGAGACAGUUCGGUCCCUAUCCGUCGCGGGCGCAGGAAAUUUGAGAGGAGCUGUCCUUAGUACGAGAGGACCGGGAUGGACACACCGCUGGUGUACCAGUUGUUCCGCCAGGAGCAUCGCUGGGUAGCUAUGUGUGGCAGGGAUAAACGCUGAAAGCAUCUAAGCGUGAAGCCCCCCUCAAGAUGAGAUUUCCCAUUUCUUCGGAAAGUAAGAUCCCUGAAAGAUGAUCAGGUAGAUAGGUUUGGAGUGGAAGUGUAGCGAUACAUGGAGCGGACAAAUACUAAUCGAUCGAGGACUUAACCAAAA
rnacentral:rRNA from 1 species